rnacentral:rRNA from 1 species
GACGAACGCUGGCGGCGUGCCUAAUACAUGCAAGUAGAACGCACAGUUUAUACCGUAGCUUGCUACACCAUAGACUGUGAGUUGCGAACGGGUGAGUAACGCGUAGGUAACCUGCCUGGUAGCGGGGGAUAACUAUUGGAAACGAUAGCUAAUACCGCAUAAUAUUAAUUAUUGCAUGAUAAUUAAUUGAAAGGUGCAAUUGCACCACUACCAGAUGGACCUGCGUUGUAUUAGCUAGUAGGUGAGGUAACGGCUCACCUAGGCGACGAUACAUAGCCGACCUGAGAGGGUGAUAGGCCACACUGGGACUGAGACACGGCCCAGACUCCUACGGGAGGCAGCAGUAGGGAAUCUUCGGCAAUGGACGAAAGUCUGACCGAGCAACGCCGCGUGAGUGAAGAAGGUUGUCGGAUCGUAAAGCUCUGUUGUAAGAGAAGAACGGGUGCGAGAGUGGAAAGUUCACACUGUGACGGUAUCUUACCAGAAAGGGACGGCUAACUACGUG